GCUUAACACAUGCAAGUCGAACGAGGCCUCCUUUUCGGAGGGGGGUUCUAGUGGCGAACGGGUGAGUAACACGUGGGCAACCUGCCCCCGGCUCUGGGAUAACUCCAAGAAAUUGGGGCUAAUACCGGAUAUGUCCGCUGACCGCAUGGUCUGGUGGUGGAAAGGGUUUCCGGCUGGGGAUGGGCCCGCGGCCUAUCAGCUUGUUGGUGGGGUAGUGGCCUACCAAGGCGACGACGGGUAGCCGGCCUGAGAGGGUGACCGGCCACACUGGGACUGAGACACGGCCCAGACUCCUACGGGAGGCAGCAGUGGGGAAUAUUGCGCAAUGGGCGAAAGCCUGACGCAGCGACGCCGCGUGGGGGAUGAAGGCCUUCGGGUUGUAAACCGCUUUCAGCAGGGACGAAGCGCAAGUGACGUACCUGCAGAAGAAGGUCCGGCCAACUACGUGCCAGCCGCCGCGGUAAUAC
rnacentral:rRNA from 1 species